UGGGUAUUUAAGCCUAAAGUUUAACAUAUAAAUGAAUAGUUUAUUUAACCAAAACUAAAAAAAAUAAAAAAUAGUUUAUAGUGGCGGCAACGACGGCAAGAUAUGCCGUAGCAACUGACUUUUGCAGCAUGCAUAUAUAACACUCAAUAAAAUACGAUCUAGGUGUAAAGGAUAGAGAGUGAUAAAUCUUUGUUAUUGUUUCUUUAUCGUCUUUAAUUUGGUUCAUCUACUCAUCUUGAUUUAGUUUAUCUCUCUAUAUUGAAUAAUAUGUUAUAUUGAAAUUAAAAUCUUAUUUUAAGAAGAUAUAACAUCAUUCGAAGAAAAUAAGCUUCUAGAGGAUUUUUUUUUGCAAAGGCAAAGAAGAAUUAUAAUAAGAGCAAGCAUCCCAAGUAUAAGAAGUAGAUAAGGGAGAGAUACAAAUUAAGCUUUGAUCCGGGACAUAUAUACAACAAAAUGCCAAGUUUCCAGAGGAUUAACAUGUUUUGAAUAGUUUUUUUUUCUUUCAAUUUUUCGACUCUCUCAUCUUUAUUGGGUAAAACAUAGAGGGGUGAUUCUAAUCUUUUUCAUAUACAACGAAUUGUGUCUUCCUCCUUGAUUUGAUUUAUCUACUCUAUAUUAAAUAAUAUGUUUUAUUGAAACUAUAAUUUUGUUUGUUAUCAAAAUUCAUACCACUUGGACCAAUUCAUUGUUGGUGACUAUUAUUUUAUUUUAAGAUAAUAUAAUGUCAAUUGAAGAAGACAAAAUUUAUAGGGGGAUAAAAUUGGUUUGGGUUUCAAUUUCUUCUUUGAUUUUGUUUUUGUUUUUUUUUUUUGUACAAAAAGGGGGGCCAUGCUCCUCUUCUUUGAUUUAUCUACUCUGAUCUUUUUUUUCUUAUUUUAAGAUAAUAUAAUGUGAAUUGAAGAAGACAAGCUUCUUAUUCUAGAGUUUAAGAAAAUACUUAUUAUUUAUAUUAUUUUAAAUUUUAUUUAUAGUUUUCACUUUGCA
rnacentral:lncRNA from 1 species